rnacentral:rRNA from 1 species
UAAAGCUCAACUAUACAUUUACCUUAAAUUUCAAAAUCUAUCUUCAACCCUUAAUUACUACUGAACUAUUUUAUAUUCUUAUAAAAAAAAUUAUGCUAGAACUAGUAACAAGAAUUAGCCCUUCUCCAAAAUGUAAGCUUAAGCCAAAAUGGACAUCCCAUCGGCAAUUAACGCAAAUGUAAUUAUUAUAGCAACAUAUACUAGCAAACCCUAUAACUACUAGCGUCGACCUAACACCAGAACAUUUCAGGAAAGAUUAAAAGAGAAAGAAGGAACUCGGCAAAUCUCAGCCCCGCCUGUUUACCAAAAACAUCGCCUCUUGCUUAAACAUAAGAGGUCCAGCCUGCCCAGUGAUAUAAUUCAACGGCCGCGGUACCCUAACCGUGCGAAGGUAGCAUAAUCACUUGUUCUUUAAAUAAGGACUUGUAUCAACGGCAUCACGAGGACUGUACUGUCUCCUUUCUCCAAUCAGUGAAACUGAUCUCCCCGUGAAGAAGCGGGGAUUAACCUAUAAGACGAGAAGACCCCAUGGAGCUUAAAGCCCACACAACUCUAUGCACUUAAAUCAAUACAGCCCAAGAAACCUGCAAACGGCUUUAGGUUGGGGGGACCGCGGAGUAAAAACUAACCUCCACGACAAACGGGCCUACGCCCUUAUCCAAGAAUGACAAUUCUAAGAAUCAAUAAACUGAUGUUUAAUGACCCGAUUAUUCGAUCAACGAACCAAGUUACCCUGGGGAUAACAGCGCAAUCUACUUCAAGAGCCCCUAUCAACAAGUAGGUUUACGACCUCGAUGUUGGAUCAGGGUAUCCUAGUGGUGCAGCCGCUACUAAAGGUUCGUUUGUUCAACGAUUAAAAC